UUCCAUGAAUUUAUUCUCACCUGAAUUACUUAUUCUAUUAUAUCUUGGCAUGGCAUACUUAGGGUUAUGAAUAUGUGAAGUAUGAUUUGAAUUGAGAUAUUGACAUAUAUAUUUAUGCAUAUGUUUAUAUUCUAUUUCUGGGAAAAUUAUACAUGUUUAACGACGAAGGGUUAGAACUUUUAAGGAAUGAAAUGGUUUUGUAUAACAUUUAUUUUUUCCCACUCACGUUUUCUAUUUUGCGCCCCUCCAGGUUUUAGGUAAGCUUGUUGUUGGUGGUGUACUAGGAUUUCGGCGGAUCUGACAUAAUUAAAUAUUUGUAGGACAUCUUCUGGUAAUGUAUAAUUAGUACUUGUCCUACUAGAUUGCACCUAGACUUUCUAUGCUCUGAUUCGGAGUAUUUACUUUUGUAUCUCACUCCUAACACUUCCUGCCUAUUAGUGCACCUUAAUAGCUUUCAAUGUUUAUUUAUUCAUAUAACUCUUAUCUUUAUCGCUUCUGCACUGUGCACAUGACUACAUCAUCCUCACGUGACGGCCAAUAUGCCUCGAUCCCGGUUGGGGUGUGUCACGAUGCGUAUUCUACGAAACUUUUAUCAACGAUGCAACUAUCAAACUUGUUUGUACACACUUCGAGAUCACAUACGUAAAAAAUCGUAAAAACAUACAUUCAGAGAUUAUGUAACAGAAAAAAAAUUUCGACGGUUCUAAACAAAAAAUCACAAUUUAACGGUUAUUUUAGCUCCAAUUUGAUGAUUUUUUAUAGCUACACUCCUCGACUACCUGUAAAAAUAUAAUUAAUGAAUUCGAUCUUCAAUUUAAAAUAUUGCACUAGUGGAUACUACAAAAUCUUAUGUUGUACUUAUUGGCCUCGAGAAUAAACAAUUACUUCUGACCAUUUAAACACGCCCUUGAAAAAAAUAUAACUAUAGUAAAACAAAUUAAAAAAAAAUCAAAGAUUAUCAAAAUUAUGCUUAUCUAAUUGUGAUUAUUCAUUAAAUUCAAGUUUUGUACAACUUCAUACCAAUUAUAGCGACAAAAUAUAUUAAUUUAACAUAAAUAAAUAUUUAUGUUAUAUUUAAUAUUAACUAGUUUUGUACUUCGUCAAGUUUUGUACAGCUUCCCUUGAAUGUGAUUAACAAAACCGAAAUAUUUAAAAAAUAUUUAAAAAUAAUAUAAUACAAUCCGAGAAAGGUAGUAUAAAAAAUUUGAAACUAUUUGUGUCGGAUAUAAACGCUAGAGUUAGUAUAAAAAAUUUGAAAAUAUUUGUGGCGGACAUAAGGGCCAGAAUUAGUAUAAAAAUUUAAAAUAAUAUAAUAUAAUCUGACAUAUUAUUAACUUAUGUCGGAUAUAUCCACUAGAAUUGGUUAAAAUUAUUUAAAAAAUAAAUCCGAUGAAGCUAAAGGCCUACUUCAUUAUUCUUGUCGGCUAUAUCCGACAGUA
rnacentral:lncRNA from 1 species